GACGAACGCAGGCGGCGUGCCUAAUACAAGCAAGUAGGACGCAGUUGCGAACGGGUGAGUAACGUGUAGGUAACUACCUCAUAGAGGGGGAUAACUAUAGGAACAGAUAGCUAAUACCGCAUACUAGUAGAUGGACUUGCGUUGUAUGAGCUAGUAGGUUGUGUAAUGGCAUACCUAGGCAACGAUAGAUAUCCGACGUGUGAGAAUGUUCAGCCAAACUGGGACUGAGGCACGGCCCAGACGCCUACGGGGGCCAGCAGUGAGGAAUCUUCUGAAAUGGGGGGAACCCUGACGGAGCAAGGCGGCGUCAGGAAAGAAGGUUUUCGGAUCGGAAAGCUCUGUUGUUAAGGGAGCGGUGUGUAACCAGAAAGUGACGGCUAACUACGUGUCAGCAGCCGCGGUAAUAC
rnacentral:rRNA from 1 species